GUCUGAUGGAGCACGCCGCGUGAGUGAAGAAGGGUUUCGGCUCGUAAAACUCUGUUGUUAAAGAAGAACAUAUCUGAGAGUAACUGUUCAGGUAUUGACGGUAUUUAACCAGAAAGCCACGGCUAACUACGUGCCAGCAACCGC
rnacentral:rRNA from 1 species